UAGAUGUCUAGACUCCCCCUAUGUAUUGACUCAGUUCUUUGGAGGAACUUUGGUGAGGCCAGUUUGAAAAGCCCUGGACUAAGGAAGAGCUUUAAGAGCUAGUUUCCACUAGCGUAGACAGCACAGAAUUGGGAAGGAUGAUGUCCUGUCUUUGGUUCAGAGAUGUCAGACCAGUUUCCUUGUGCAUCCCCAGGAACUGCACUUCCUUUACCCAUCAAAUCCUUUAAGGAUCCUUUGGUCUCAGCCUGAAUUAUGGGAUUCUGCUUUGACCCUCAAGAGUAAUGUCCAAGUCCUGUGUCACUGUUUAGAAGUUUAA
rnacentral:lncRNA from 1 species